GAUAUGGAACAGUUAGACUCCUAUUAGGAUUAGGAUUAUUUUUGCAUAUUAGGAUUUUAUUUCUAUUGUAAAUAGCCUCCCUUGGCUAUUAGGAUUUUAGACUCCUAUUAGGAUUAUGAUUAUUUUUGCAUAUUAGAAUUUUAUUUCUAUUGUAAAUAGCCUCCCUUGGCUAUUAGGAUUUUAGACUCCUAUUAGGAUUAGGAUUAUUUUUGCAUAUUAGGAUUUUAUUUCUAUUAUAAAUAGCCUCCCUUGGCUAUUAGAAACUCACUUUCCAAUUUUUAAGAAAUUUCAAUAAGAC
rnacentral:lncRNA from 1 species